ensembl:lncRNA
AUUCAUUCCUCUGUUUUCUAAAAGUUGAACUGAGCUAGAUGUCGUUUUAUAAUUAAUUUACUACAUUGUUAUAUUUAGCUUUUUAAUUUUUUUUUUUUUACACCUGCACUUUAACAGUGUGUUUGUAAUGUUUGUAAUGUGUAUGUCUGCUUCCUCUAAGGAAACAGACAAUCUGGCAGAUUUGCUCAAGCUCAAGUGGGUCCUUAAAUGCAGGUUGUAAAUAAGGCUGAUGAGAAACAGGUGGUCAGGCUGAGGCGUGGAGAGGAACCUCUGCUCAGCUUCUCCUGGACUCAGGGAGUGUUAGAGACUCCAAACAACAACAACCCUGUGCAGAAAUAUGACCUCAGGCUGGGUUGAAGAUUUAAGGUGUGGAAACUUACUGUGAUGGCAGACAGGAUGGAGCUCAGUGUUAUGGAGCUUUGGGAGGAACUGUGAACAUCCAGCUGAUGGACAACACCUCAGAAAUACCUCGAUACCAAUUGUCAAAGAAUUCAUUAAAAAUACUAGAUGUGAAAAAGAAAAAUGUUAUUACUAAAAUCAAAGAACAGAGAUGUCUAAUUUUUCCAGGUAAUGGAACAUUUAGGCUCAGUAAUCUGAAAAGGAAUGACAGUGGUAGUUAUACCCUUCAAACCUUUAAUUCAGAUGGAAGAACAUCAGGCGAGUGGACUUUACAGUUGUUUAUUCAAGCUCCUGUGUCCUCUGUCCUGCUGGUCUCUGAGUGUCUGUCCCAGGGAGAGAGGAGGGUGUCCUGCUCCUCUGAGGGAGGGGACAGUCCUCAGUACAGCUGGACUCUGGAUGGACGCACACUGACAGAUGCUGAGCUUUCUGUAAACAAUGAAAGUAACAACAUCACUCUGAAACAGCACGUCUCAGGACGUCUGGUCUGCUCAGUCAGGAACAACGUCAGUAAUGUCUCCAAAGAACAGAAGAUAUCUACCUGUGGAGCAGGUCUUUUGCCACUGCUUUUUUUGCCAGUGAUCGGUGGUGUCAUCUCAGCGGUGGUCAUUUUCUUAUUUGUCGGUGUAGCGGUCAUCUGUGCUCAGAGAAGAAAACCAAACAAUAAGUCCACAAAACACAAAGUAGUACAAAAUGACUAUGAAGAAAUGAUGUCAUUGUCAUGUAGCAGCAGAGGAAGCAAGUGGAGAAAAGAGGGUCGGUGAAGUAACCAAGUAAAGGUUUCGCCUUUUUCCUAUCAGAGAAAUACACAUCAUCAAAUCUCGUGAAUAUUGUCUUCUUUUGUUGUUGUUGCUUUCUCUGAGCUUUUUUUUAUUAUAACAGGGGAAAAAUUCCCCCAGUCUUAGAUUGUCUCUAGGUUUAAUUAAAAGCACUGUGUUACACAAAUACUGUGAAUGUUUUCUGUACUUGUCUUCUCUUGAAGCUCUGAUACAAUAAAGGUUUUUGAGUCAUUGUAUUUCAUGCUAUUUGUUU